UUAGCAGCCCUGGAGACCAAAGACCUCUGGUUAUCCACAUAAGAAGUAGAGGCAGUACAAGCCUUCCACCCCGCACCAAGACUUCUUCUUCGGAGGGACCACACUUUGGAGGAAUAUGAGGGUAGCUCUGUCUUCAUGCCCAUUCAGUCCUUGGCCUUU
rnacentral:sRNA from 1 species